rfam:Bacillus sp. KCTC 13219 scaffold4.1, whole genome shotgun sequence.
GUGAAUUAUCCAUUUGUACCGUAGACAGUAGGAGUGCAUUGUGCGCUUAAUUUUCCUACCGAGGACAACGGAAUUCGGAAUCUUUUUAAGAUGAUGACUUUCUGCCUCUAUGUCUAUUUUGAUAUAGGGGCUUUCUUUUGUCGGU